rnacentral:lncRNA from 1 species
UUCCACCCACUUGGUGAAGUAAUCGAUAGCCACUAAUAUGAACCGGUGCCCAUUUGAAGCCGUAGGCUCAAUCUUCCCAAUCAUAUCAAUGCCCCACAUAGCAAACGGGCACGGAGAUGACAUCAAACUCAACGGGUUUGGAGGCACAUGCACCUUAUCAGCAUAAAUCUGGCAUUUAUGACAUUUCCGCACGAAGUUGAAACACUGAGGCUCCAUUGUCA